UCUGCGAACGGACACGCCGGUCCUUCGGCCGUGCUUUGCACGGACAAGGUCAUUCCUACCCGUCUGCGUACGGACACGCCGGUCCUUCGGCCGUGCUUUGCACGGACAAGGUCAUUCCUACCCGUCUGCGAACGGACACUACCUACACAUACCUGCACCAAUAAACAGAGGAACCUCAA